rnacentral:rRNA from 1 species
GACGUAGGGCGCGAGCGUUGUCCGGAUUUAUUGGGCGUAAAGAGCUCGUAGGCGGCUUGUCGCGUCGGCUGUGAAAUCCCGUGGCUCAACUGCGGGUCUGCAGCCGAUACGGGCAGGCUAGAGUUCGGUAGGGGAGACUGGAAUUCCUGGUGUAGCGGUGAAAUGCGCAGAUAUCAGGAGGAACACCGGUGGCGAAGGCGGGUCUCUGGGCCGAUACUGACGCUGAGGAGCGAAAGCGUGGGUAGCAAACAGG